rnacentral:lncRNA from 1 species
AUGUUUCCCUCAAAGCCUUUGAGGCCAUGGACUUCAUGUUCCUCUUUAACAGAUUUGGUGAGAACCUCACUGGUUAUGAGAGAGUCUUGCAAAGCCUUGGUGAGUGUUCGUUCAUAGUGUUUAAAACUUGCAAGGAAUUUGAAGGACCCUAUUUAGAGUACAUGGAAAGGCAAUUUAGAAAACCAGUUUUGCUAUCUGGCCCACUUGUCCCUGAGCCAUCAAUGGAUGUGCUUGAGGAAAAGUGGUCCAAAUGGUUAGAUACUUUCCCUGCCAAAUCUGUCAUAUUAUGCUCAUUUGGUAGUGAGACUUUUCUGAAUGAUGAUCAGAUCAAAGAACUAGCCAGUGGAUUGGAACUCAGCGGCUUACCUUUCAUUUUGGUUCUAAAUUUCCCAUCUGAUCUUUCAGCUGAAUCUGAGUUGGAGAGAACACUGCCAAAAGGGUUCUUGGAAAGAGUGAAAGAAAGGGGAGUGGUGCACACUGGUUGGUUUCAGCAGCA